GCUCCAGGAGGUGUUAGGCAGGGCUGAAGCACUUCUCACUUGGUGAGAAGAGUAAUAAAGAAGUGAAUGCUCAAAUAAGUUGAUUAUUCUCUCACAGAUGCAGCUGCUGAAAAACAAAUGGAGGUCAGCAGCAGCUGAAAGCCUGUGUUGGUUGAACAAUCUGCUGAGGACUGUUCCAGGACUGUCCAGAGAAAAUAAUGAGUUGCUGCCUGCCCUCUUCCUGGUGGUAUAAGUAUCAGGCAGAGAUGUGUUAAUCAGCUUUAUGAAGUUUGACCGUAGCGAGCCUCCUGCCUGUAUUCAGUCAAUCAGCAUUCGGCCUGAUGGUGCAGUUCUCCUCUUCUCUGUUCCACUGGUUGAGUUCAUUGUUCCCAUAUCCUUGGUGGAGUCGUCCGGGAAGGGAUCUGCACGAGAUUCCUGGGAACAAGGGGCUUAAGUUUUGCCCUGUCAGUGCUGGAAGUCAGGAGGGACAGAAAGAAAGUCACAGACUUGCACAGGCGGAAAACGAGUGGAAGUGAAACCAGAGCCUCCUGUUCUUUUAUGCCAAAUUCAAUGCCCUUUUGACUUUCCUCCGCUUUCUACAGAAAAGCAAGAUCCCUACUCCCACCAUUACAAUGCUUUUCCACCACCUGAUUACUCCUCUGAACACUUCUUGCUUUACCAUUUCAAUGAGGAACAGCUCCAAAAUAUUCCCAACCACCCUUUUGUCUGGAAGGAACGAGAGGAGCGCUGCAAGGUGCCAGGUGCACUCACACGACCUCCAAGCCCUCCAAUUUCUGGGGAAAUGUGCUUAAUACUGGGCUGAAGUCUGUCCUUGAGAUGUGGUGCUGCAAUGACGCGUGUGGGUCUCUGCCCCACGCCUGGCUGAAGCCCUGCACCAGAGCACUUCCACGCCUGCCCCCUGCCCGUACCGAGGCUACAGACACCCAGCAAGCAUAACCCAAUCUUCACCAGCACUCCAUGCAUGCACAGUGAUUUGUUAAAUUUCUACAUAUGACACCUCCUUCCCCCAACUCCCCUCCCCACUUCUCCUCAGCGUAGUUGAACUUUAAAGGGCCCAGGAGAAAAAAGAAAUAAGACUUUAAAUAAUUUAUUUUGGAGAAACAGUCAGUGAAGAGGAACAAAUAAUGUUUCACUAAAAGAAGCGGGACCUUUGACACUCCCCUUUUCGCUCAGGUACCUGAAGGCCUAGCCGGAUUGCAUUAGUGAAAUUUUCAUUUGAUGGCAUUUUAAUAUUCUGCCUUGAUGACUUUUUAGCAACAUUUACUUUCAGAGGUCUUGAGUGCUCCCUCGGAGGAAAUGAAACAUGUCAAAGCCCAUUACAAAAAUCAAAAUUUAAAUACCUUGGCCACGUUGGGGCUCACACACAAUCCCAUCAGCGCUUAAACCGAGGCUCACAACUACUCAUUCACUUGUUCAGUUGGUAAUGAGUACAUUUGAUGAAGCAUUCUGGGGUCAUGGAACAUACGUUAGUGAUCUAAACUUAACCCAUUGAUUGCUUAUACACUGAGGGGAGGGGGCAUUUUAUUGAAAUGUAAUGUUAGAAUAAUUUCCACCAGUGCUGAAAUAACUUUUUUUUUUCUUUUUUUUUUUUUUUUUUUUAACAAUUGCUUUGAUGAAUUGGAAUGUUAAUAAGCAUGAUGGGAGGGCUUUAUUUAAGGUGGGGAGGAAGGAGCCAAGCUAGGAAUACAGAGCAGUUAGCUGAGCUCUUCAGCCACUGAAAAGCAAGCACAAGACAAUACUGGGGCUCUCUCUCCUGAUUAAACUUGCAUUUGGACUUUCUUGGAAAUCUUCCCUGUUCUAUCAUCUGUUUUUUUGUUUGUUUGUUUGUUUGUUUGUUUUUUUCCCUGCUGGUGCCGCUAAAUCAAUUGGUGUCUUAGAGGCAAAUGGAGAUGUCCAGUGCAGGAUGGUAAUGGGGUAACAAGUACUAAAUCAUAAAUAUUAUCUUAGCUAAACUUCAGUAAUAACAUGUCUAUACAGUAUCUGUGCUGUAUAAAUCAAUCUGUACAUAAAGUGCAUGCGUUUGGUUCUGGUGUAAAGCAUUCUCCUUUUUUUUCCUUAUUUUACAAUGUAU